rnacentral:rRNA from 1 species
GACGAACCGAGCGAACGUUGUUCGGAAUUACUGGGCGUAAAGCGCGCGUAGGCGGACCUGCAAGUCGGGGGUGAAAGCCCGAGGCUCAACCUCGGAACUGCCUUCGAUACUGCGGGUCUCGAGUCCGGGAGAGGUGAGUGGAAUUCCUAGUGUAGAGGUGAAAUUCGUAGAUAUUAGGAAGAACACCAGUGGCGAAGGCGGCUCACUGGCCCGGUACUGACGCUGAGGCGCGAAAGCGUGGGGAGCAAACAGG